GACGAACGCUGGCGGCGUGCUUAACACAUGCAAGUCGAACGGAAAGGCUCCAGCUUGCUGGAGUACUCGAGUGGCGAACGGGUGAGUAACACGUGGGUAAUCUGCCCUGCACUCUGGGAUAAGCCUGGGAAACUGGGUCUAAUACUGGAUAUGACCUUUCUCCUUAUGGGGUUUGGUGGAAAGUUUUUCGGUGUAGGAUGAGCCCGCGGCCUAUCAGCUUGUUGGUGGGGUGAGGGCCUACCAAGGCGACGACGGGUAGCCGGCCUGAGAGGGUGAUCGGCCCCAUUGUGCCUGAGAUACCGCCCAUACUCCUACGGGAGGCAGCAGUGGGGAAUAUUGCACACUGGGCGGCAGCCUGAUGCAGCGACGCCGCGUGAGGGAUGACGGCCUUCGGGUUGUAAACCUCUUUCAGCAGGGACGAAGCGUAAGUGACGGUACCUGCAGAAGAAGCACCGGCUAACUAUGUG
rnacentral:rRNA from 1 species